CCCUGCGCGUUGCAGCAAAGUAGAAAUUCUCAUGGGCGAAAUAGCAUGGCCAGGAAAAGACCCUCUCCCCUGUCGUUGACUUUGGAGUCCCCUUCCUUUUAAGAACUUUUGUCUGCUUCAACACCAGCUACAAGGUGGGAUCCCACUGCUUAAAAGAAGUUUAGCCACUGAAGAUGUCCAGCAGACAAACUCUGAGAACACUUUAUCAAGCACAAAGGUGUUACAACAGUAUUUUGAGAAAAAUUACCUAAGGAAACAAUGCCCUGACUUGUUUAGCGAAA
rnacentral:lncRNA from 1 species